rnacentral:rRNA from 1 species
GCGAAGCGGUGACGUGGAGCAAACCUCAGAAAGCCAAUCUCAGUUCGGAUUGUAGGCUGCAACUCGCCUACAUGAAGUUGGAAUCGCUAGUAAUCGCGAAUCAGAAUGUCGCGGUGAAUACGUUCCCGGGUCUUGUACACACCGCCCGUCACACCACGAGAGUUUACAACACCCGAAGUCAGUGGCCUAACCGCAAGGAGGGAGCUGCCUAAGGUGGGGUAGAUGAUUGGGGUGAAGUCGUAACAAGGUAGC